rnacentral:tRNA from 1 species
AGCUGAGUUGGUAGAGCAUGGCGCUUGCAGCGCCAUGGGUUGUGGGUUCAAUUCCCAU